rnacentral:lncRNA from 1 species
UGCUAGUGUACUAAAAGUAUGACUGAUAAGCCAAGCCUUAAUUAUAAAUAACACAAUAAUUGGUGAAAAUACUAAAUAGUGAUUCAACACCUGUAAAGGUGACAAAAUGAAAUCUUUAAGUAAGGACAACAUAUCAGCUCUACAAAUAAUGAAAAUGAAACCAACAUGUAUGUAUAUAUAUAUAUAUAUAUAUAUAUAUGGUUGGACUUAUGAAAGCUUUUGAGGUACCCAAAGGUACGUAUGUGCUUCAGACUCGGAUCUCGUCGUAGUCUGCUCUGUCUUUUGAAGAUCAACUCCAGUUUGAAAAAGUGAUUGGGGCCAUAGCCUGCUCUGUCGGGUUGUCUCUCUUCAUUCUUAUGGCCGGCUGUUCUUCCUACCUGUAUAAACUUUGAACAAAAUAUUCAGUCGUGUUCGAGAUAAGAUAAUUAGAAAUAGAAGUAAGAGAUCUAAAUUGAAAACAAAACAAGAAAAUCUAUUGAACUGUACUGUUUUUUUCUACGAAAAAGAUGUGAUUAUUGUCGCAACUAUUCAAAAUCGAUAUCUUUACAAGUAAG